CGGACCGGCAGGAACUCAUGAAGCUACCAAUGCGCUAGCCUGACGAUCGGCGUGGCGCGGCGGGAAUGUUGUAGAUCGCCUGCACCCGGAGACACCUGCACUGAACUCUUUUCGGACAUGGGUUCGACUCCCAUCGCCUCCACCA
rnacentral:tmRNA from 1 species